rnacentral:tRNA from 1 species
CCUAUAGCAUAAUGGUAAUGCUCCAGCUUCCCAAGCUGGCUACGGGGGUUCGAUUCCCCCUAGG